CACAGAGGACACGUCAUGCUGCGUCUACGUCAUCCAACCCUCUUAGCCCAAACAGACUAAGACAGAAGGUGUCCAGCUGGAUUUUUAAAUCUUCCGAGAUGAUGAUACUACUUGGGGGAGAAAGAGAUGGCCCAAGUACCUAAAUCCCCAUGACUGUGGAGGAGUUCCUUGAGAUUGAUGGAUGGUAGCAGAGUCAGUGUUUGAAAUGUGAGGAAUAAAAGUUAUUCCAUGCA